UGCGAAAGCAGCGCGCUCCCCGGUGCAGUAUGUCCUCUGGAAUGUGGCGGAGUGUGUGCGUUUGUCCGUGCAGAUCCAGAGCCUGACAUAAUGCAGCUGCCAGGGGAGCAGAGCCUGCAGUGGCCAAAGCCUGCCAGUGCCCUUUUUUUGCUUCUCCUAUGAGGUCUCUUUGUAUAGCUGACACCCACCCACCAUCAUUCUCUGCUGAGACUCACAGCUGCACCUAGCAUGGGCUUGAGAGGAGGAAAGUACC